rnacentral:rRNA from 1 species
GAUGAACGCUGGCGGCGUGCUUAACACAUGCAAGUCGAACGGAAAGGCCCAAGCUUGCUUGGGUACUCGAGUGGCGAACGGGUGAGUAACACGUGGGUGAUCUGCCCUGCACUUCGGGAUAAGCCUGGGAAACUGGGUCUAAUACCGGAUAGGACCACAUUUUGGAUGGGGUGGUGGAAAGUUUUUCGGUGUGGGAUGAGCUCGCGGCCUAUCAGCUUGUUGUUGGGGUAAUGGCCUACCAAGGCGUCGACGGGUAGCCGGCCUGAGAGGGUGUACGGCCACAUUGGGACUGAGAUACGGCCCAGACUCCUACGGGAGGCAGCAGGGGGGAAUAUUGCACAAUGGGCGCAAGCCUGAUGCAGCGACGCCGCGUGGGGGAUGACGGCCUUCGGGUUGUAAACUCCUUUCGCUAGGGACGAAGCGUUUUUGUGACGGUACCUGGAGAAGAAGCACCGGCUAACUACGUG